rnacentral:pre_miRNA from 1 species
AUUCCUUGCCCACCACGAGCUUACCGUCUAGAGGGGAUGAACUCUAGACUGCGAGCUCAUUGUGGGCAGGGAGU